UCCGAUUUUAAUGAAAUUUUCAGCAUUGUGCUUGUCCGAUUGAUUCGAAUCAACAUUUUUCUGAGGUGGACUUGACCACCUCAUGAUCAUGCAUAUUAGAUAUUAUGGGAAUAAGCAAGACGAAUCGAUAAAAAAAUCCAUGAUGGCAAAGUAUUAAUGGGCAUAAUAUAGUGCGAUUUUUAAUGCAGAUCGACCAGUCUCUAAAAUGCGUAUUAGUUGAACCAUAACACUGGGAGUGUGCGUGAUUUUUCUAGUGGUAUUUUUUGCAUCCCGGGCAGCACCCCCUGGAAAUCUGAUUGGUAUGCUAAACGGCUUUUUGACCCAAUCACCUUCAUUUUUUCUGUGUUUGUUGUUGUUAUUGUAUUUGCUUGUUCAAUUUUUUUCUGACCAUAAUCACCCCUUUUAAAGUUUUUUUUGAACGAAACCCCCUAUUUUCGAUUUUUUCUCUCAAAAUGAGCACCCCUCUUUAAAAAAUCGUUUCCAGGCUGCUGAGUUGAACACCACAUAGGUUCAUAUAAAUCGACAUCGAAAGAGGGAGACUAGAUCAAUGAUCAUGACCUCAUUAGAGAAAUUAAACACAGCCUUUACUAAGCUAACAUUGUUCUAUAAUAUUUACAAUUCCAAUAGUCAGGUGACAAAUUUGCUUAUCUGCAAAAUUAUCACCUUGAUAUCAAAACACCGAUAGGAACACGAUCCCGUUUCUAUAAAAGAUCGUAAGACAUUUCCAAAUUCUUCCUUUGUCUAACUAAACAAUAAUUGGUCACUUUGUUUCAAAUUAUUUGAGAAGAAAAUAAAAUUCUGUUGUAGUUUAUUACCUCACGCCCCAUAAGAAAAUGUGGGAAAAAAGUAUAAUGACACUUUAUACUUUGGAAGCACUUGAGCCACUAUCAUAAUUAGUUCAACGUGGUAAAGAGUACCUUUCGAUGCAACGACCACUGUAAUGUUUAUUUAAAGAUAAUCAAUUUUGUAAUCAUGAAAGACUUUGUCUAUUCGUGGUCGUUGACGUAAUACGGUAUAAUUGGUAGAGAUAUAGGGCCUAAUUUGUAAAGACACACAUAAAUAACCUUAAUACUGAAAGUUGAGAGUUCCUAACAAGAUGGCCUUGUGCAUUCGUUUACUCAUCGUUGCCAUAAUCGUCGUUUGUUACCCCAUAUCAUCAUAUUCGAUGAUGACCCCGACUAUGAUCAGGGAUCUGCUUGCCGUUGGAGAGUCUCAUUUUACUCCUUUUGAAGACACGAUGGAAAGUAAUGUUUCACUAGAGUGCAGGAAAGAUCUCAUCAAACUGGUUGUACAGAAACCCAUCGGGAAGAUAGCACUUGCUUUAGACGCGACAGGUAAACCGAGUGCAGGUUUUCUCGUUGGGAACUGGGCGUGGUUGGGCCAUUUUGAUGAAUGCAUGGCCAUUGAUACCUUCAGGUACUGUUUAUCAUACAUCCGUCUUAAACUGCCACCAGUACCCGUCAACAUUCCUUUACAAUGGGGUAUAUGCACUCCCGAAAGCUGCUCAAAUUCUGAUGUUCUUAAUUCCCUCAACUUGUUGUUAGACCUGAUAUCCGCACCUUUUAACGACACCGACAUAUCAGCAGCAAUUGUGCAGUGCUCCGAAGAACCUCCUGCUCCGUUCACCAAAGGCUUCUGGGCAACUCUAUCAUUGAGUUGUUUCUUUGCCUUGUUAAUGAUUACCGGGGCCCUCCAAGAUGAAUUGCGGAUUUGGCGGUCUAAGGACAGGCACGGAGGGUCAACUUUAUCAAAACCCUCACAGAACGUACCUGCAUCACAAAACACGACUGCAGAAAUGCCAACAGAAGUUUACGAGGUGAGGGGAAAUCAAGACAAUCAUGACAAUGGAACACAGACCGAUCAGGGAGUAACCAACGAGGGGUUCAGGAUGGAGAUUGAUGGCGAUGGCCAGAACAGGAUGGACCAAUCCAAAGGCAAUGAACUUGAUAAUGACAUCAGUUCAGAAAAGAAUACUUCAAGCUCAACAUCGGAUGGGGAUAGUUCUCAGUUAUCUCAAGUCAUUCGGGAUGCUGGGCGAGUGAUUUCUCGGGUCUGUCAAGAGGUGACUAGAAGCUUCGCUUUUAACCUAAAUCUGGAAAGUCUGAUGAACACCAAGACGACGAAUGCAACCAUUCGGUGUUUGGAUGGAAUCCGGGUACUUAGCAUGACGUGGAUAAUACUUGGUCACGUGCCCUCUUUCCUGAUGGGCAAUACACUCUAUGCAAACGCUCCCUUCGCUCUGGAAAUGCUUACCCAUUUUGGAUUCCAGGUUGUCGUUAAUGCCUAUCUAGCUGUCGAUAGCUUCUUUUUCUUAAGUGGCUUAUUAGUGACGUACAUGACCUUAAAACGAAUGGUGAAAACAAACGGACAUAUACCUUGGUUUUGUUUCUACUUUCAGCGUUACUGGAGACUUACCCCGGCGAUGGCAUUUUCCAUGUUGAUUUGGAUGUAUAUAAGACCACUGCUCGGAGAAGGUCCAAAGUGGGCAGGACAAGUCAUUGACCAUGGCUGUAGCGAAGGGUGGUGGGCAAACUUACUCUACAUCAACAAUUUCGUUCACGGCAGAUGUAUCAGUUGGGUGUGGUAUCUUGCAAAUGACUUCCAGUUCUUCGUUAUCAGCCCCAUUUUCAUACUUCUGUUAUACAAGAAACCUCGGAUUGGCUUUGGAGCUCUGAUCGUCACAUGCGUAGCAAGUGUUACGACGACGGCUGUUUUGAUGGUCAUCAAUGAUUUCAACGCUCGUCUCAACGGUAUGUUGGAUCUAAAUUCAAAUGCCGGCGAAUUUCAACAGACAAUAUACGUGAAGCCAUACUGUCGCAUCCCACCCUAUCUGGUCGGUAUGGCUGUGGGGUAUCUUCUUCACAUGAACCGAGAUAAAAGAAUCUCCAUGCAUCCAGUCUAACAUGAAGAUGUCAGUACGUACAUUUUCCAGCCGCAAUUAAUGUCAGCUUAAUCUACUUUUUCAAGCUGGCAAAAUAAUGGCUGUUCUUGGUUGGAUAGCUGCAUCUGCCAUAGGGAUGGCGUGUGUGUAUGGUUUCUACCCAAGUUACCAUGGUAACGAAUUAU
rnacentral:misc_RNA from 1 species